GACCUGCUAAGACUGGAUAGGAGAUAAGAAGGCAUCUUUUUAUUUUUAAAAGACCUAGCAAUAGGUAUGCUUAGGGAAGAGCUUGCGUCACAUUAGUUAGUUGGUGGGGUAAUGGCCUACCAAGACGAUGAUGUGUAGCCGGGCUGAGAGGUCGAACGGCCACAUUGGGACUGAGACACGGCCCAAACUCCUACGGGAGGCAGCAGUAAGGAAUUUUCGGCAAUGGAGGAAACUCUGACCGAGCAAUGCCGCGUGAACGAUGAAGUAUUUCGGUACGUAAAGUUCUUUUAUUAGGGAAGAAAAGAUGGUGGAAAAACCAUUAUGACGGUACCUAAUGAAUAAGCCCCGGCUAACUAUGUGCCAGCAGCCGCGGUAAUACAUAGGGGGCAAGCGUUAUCCGGAAUUAUUGGGCGUAAAGGGUGCGUAGGCGGUUAAAUAAGUUUAUGGUCUAAGUGCAACGCUCAACGUUGUGAUGCUAUAAAAACUGUUUAGCUAGAGUUGGAUAGAGGCAAGUGGAAUUCCGUGUGUAGUGGUAAAAUGCGUAAAUAUACGGAGGAACACCAGAAGCGAAGGCGGCUUGCUGGGUCUUAACUGACGCUGAGGCACGAAAGCGUGGGGAGCAAACAGGAUUAGAUACCCUGGUAGUCCACGCCCUAAACGAUGAGUACUAAACGUUGGAUAAAACCAGUGUUGAAGUUAACACAUUAAGUACUCCGCCUGAGUAGUACGUACGCAAGUAUGAAACUUAAAGGAAUUGACGGGACUCCGCACAAGCGGUGGAUCAUGUUGUUUAAUUCGAAGGUACCCGAAAAACCUCACCAGGUCUUGACAUGCUUUUGCAAAGCUGUAGAAAUACAGUGGAGGUUAUCAGAAGCACAGGUGGUGCAUGGUUGUCGUCAGCUCGUGUCGUGAGAUGUUGGGUUAAGUCCCGCAACGAGCGCAACCCUUGUUGUUAAUUGCCAUCAUUAAGUUGGGGACUUUAGCAAGACUGCCAAUGAUAAAUUGGAGGAAGGUGGGGACGACGUCAAAUCAUCAUGCCCCUUAUGACCUGGGCUACAAACGUGAUACAAUGGCUGUUACAAAGGGUAGCUAAAGCGUAAGCUUCUGGCGAAUCUCAAAAAAGCAGUCUCAGUUCGGAUUGAAGUCUGCAACUCGACUUCAUGAAGUUGGAAUCGCUAGUAAUCGCGAAUCAGCAUGUCGCGGUGAAUACGUUCUGUACACACCCCGGGG
rnacentral:rRNA from 1 species